GGCAACACCGCGAUGGCCAAAUUGCUCUGGUGAGCAAUUUCUCUCUUCUCCAUCGCUCUCCGCGUUUGACACCGCCUCGACCACGUCCGGAAUUGUUUGGUGGAGCAUCUUGGCCACUAGAUCAGGUAGCACCACGGUGUGGACGAACUCUAUCUCCGACAGACCUCUACCUCUCUCUCUCUAUUUAUCUCCGCGGCUACCUCAUGAUGGCAAGGUAAAGGUGAGAGUAUGUCAACUGGUGCCAUAUGGUUCACCUCAACGGGCUACGAUUUUGGAUUCUGUGUGCAACACAACAUGGACAAAAAGGAAGGCAAGGCAGGAAGCAACGACUAUUCUUGUUAAUUUGGAAUUUCGACAGUG
rnacentral:misc_RNA from 1 species